rnacentral:rRNA from 1 species
GACGUAGGGCGCGAGCGUUGUCCGGAUUUAUUGGGCGUAAAGAGCUCGUAGGCGGCUUGUCGCGUCGACUGUGAAAUCCCGCGGCUCAACUGCGGGUCUGCAGUCGAUACGGGCAGGCUAGAGUUCGGUAGGGGAGACUGGAAUUCCUGGAUGUAGCGGUGAAAUGCGCAGAUAUCAGGAGGAACACCGAUGGCGAAGGCAGGUCUCUGGGCCGAUACUGACGCUGAGGAGCGAAAGCGUGGGGAGCGAACAGG